UUCCAAACGUGAUCUGAUUAUUGGGCUAUUGACCUCAUGAAAAUGGCGUCUGUCUAUCUUCAUUUUACUUUUUACACUUGACAUGCACUUUAAAGUCAGCGUGGAUAGGGCUUUCUGGAGACUGCUGUCCAGAUUAACUAUACAACUGCAAAUGUUCUGUAGCUCACUGUGACGUUUUUGAAUAGCAUAAGAGGAGUCAUCGAUACGCAUAUAAACAACAAUUAUUUGGGAGUCAGUCAGUCCAUUUCACAAGUGACGUUUUUCUUUUAAUAAUGGGUUCGAUGAAGAAGAUGUAGCAUGAUCGCGUUGAAUAAGAUGCACAAUGCGAAAUGUUUUUUUUGCGUAGAUCUGAGACACAACUGUUUCAUUUUUGGGUGGCGCGAAACCAGUGAGCUCGUGGAUGAUGAUGUAGGCUGUUUGCCGUGGUGAUAAUUCUAAUAAGACCGAGAAAGAGCGCAAAUCAUGUCCUUUGAAUGACACAUUUUCAGUAAAUUUAAAAUAGUACCUG
rnacentral:lncRNA from 1 species